rnacentral:rRNA from 1 species
GUCUCUUUGAGUAUUUUUAAUAGAGAGUUGGGCCUGCUCGGUGAUUAAUAUUAAACAGCUGCGGUAUUAUAACUGUACUAAGGUAGCAUAAUAAUUUGCCUUAUAAAUUGGGGCUAGAAUGAAUGGUUUGACGAAAAUUAUACUGUCUCUAGUUUAUUUAUUAGAAGUUAAUUUUUAUAGUGAAAAAGCUUGGAUAGUUUAAAGGGACGAGAAGACCCUAUUGAGCUUGUAUUAUAUAUUAAAGUUAUAAUUGUAUUUAUUUAGUAUAAUUUUGGUUGGGGUGAUCAAGGAAUAAAAAUUAAUUUAAUUAACUUCCUUAAUAAAAUUAUAUAUGUAUGAAUAAACCAAAUGAUUUUUGCUUAUAAGAUAAGUUACCAUAGGGAUAACAGCGUAAUUUUUUUUGAAAGUUCUUAUUGAAAAAAGAGAUUGCGACCUCGAUGUUGGAUUAAAAUAACCUUAAGGUGUAGAGGCUUUAUUUGGUAAAUCUGUUCGAUUUUUAAAAUUUU